UACGUAGGGUGCGAGCGUUGUCCGGAAUUAUUGGGCGUAAAGAGCUCGUAGGCGGCUUGUCACGUCGGUUGUGAAAGCCCGGGGCUUAACCCCGGGUCUGCAUUCGAUACGGGCAGGCUGGAGUGUGGUAGGGGAGAUCGGAAUUCCUGGUGUAGCGGUGAAAUGCGCAGAUAUCAGGAGGAACACCGGUGGCGAAGGCGGAUCUCUGGGCCAUUACUGACGCUGAGGAGCGAAAGCGUGGGGAGCGAACAGG
rnacentral:rRNA from 1 species